UUUUAACUUUUUCCAUGUACAUAAAAUACUACUCAUUUACAAAAAUGUUAUAUUGUUUAGAGUUUCAACGUUUCAUAAUAUUUCAUCGCGCAACACAUAUUUUCAUGUUUGAUAAUUUGAGGUCAGGUAGUCGUCUAUUUGUGAAGUGCUUUUUCUCCUCAAAAAUAAUUGUUUCUUAUAAACAAUCCUUCAUAUAGGCAUCAGUAUGAAACUUAAUAAGGGAUAAUUGAAUUUAUGAAACAAUCGUGUGUGUUUUUUACAGUUCGAGGUAGAGUGAUUCCGGAAAAAACUCAUAUUGCUGAGCCUGUUGUGGAUUCGAAAACGGGUUCGAAGGUCUCCACAUAUGUGAAACCAUCAGUGCCGAAUUCUGCUGAAGCCAAGAUAGAAGCUGACAGCUCUGUUGAUGCUAAUUGCAUAACAAGUCACCCAAAGGCAAGCAGCCGGCCAGGAAGAAGGCAAGAACAGAGCAGCAAUCAUACUCUGCUGUGAAGCCUUAUGAGAGGUUUCAAAUUAUAAACUCUCAGGUGCAGGAGUUGGCGGCGUCGUAUGUUAAGCUGACCCUCGUCGCCGUCCAUGAACCGGCCCCGGACCUCCACACGGUCUUCAGUAUUCCAAAGAAGACCGCCGCGUCGGCCCUGGUCGACUUUCUGAAAAUCCCAGGACCAUCAGACGCUGCACCUGCCCCCGAACCCGUUGUACAAGGGCCGGCACAGAUGCCAUAAAGGCGCUUCCGUCUGUUAUCGGGGUGCAUUUUACCGCAACUGACCACUAAGCGUCAUGAGAGCUAUACUCGGCCAGAAAUAGUAGG